rnacentral:rRNA from 1 species
UAUCUCUGUAGAGUCUGCAUAUCAAUAAGCGGAGGAAAAGAAACUAACUAGGAUUCCCUUAGUAACGGCGAGUGAAGCGGGAAGAGCUCAAAUUUGAAAUCUUCAAGGUUUUACCUUGACGAAUUGUAGUUUAAAGAAGUGUUUUCUGUUGGUGUUUUGGUAAAAGUUCUUUGGAAUAGGACAUCAUAGAGGGUGAGAAUCCCGUAUUUGACCAUUAUUUCCAGCUUUGUGAUACACUUUCAAAGAGUCGGAUUGUUUGGGAAUGCAGUCCAAAAUGGGUGGUAAAUUUCAUCUAAAGCUAAAUAUUGGCGAGAGACCGAUAGCGAACAAGUACCGUGAGGGAAAGAUGAAAAGAACUUUGAAAAGAGAGUUAAACAGUACGUGAAAUUGUCAAAAGGGAAGCGUUUGACACCAGUGUUGUUUUCUCGAAAAUCAAUUAAAAAUGGCAGUGAUUUUGUGUUGUAUUGACUCUUAUAAGCUUUCUGCACUUUUUUCAUGUCUUUUUUUAAUGCACUUUUCGUUUAACAAGUCAACAUCAAUUUCUUUUGUUGUAAAAGGGUCAUUGGAAGGUGGCUUUCUUUUCGGAGAAAGUGUUUAUAGCCUUUGAUCUCUGCAAUCGGAGAGACUGAGGUCUGCAGCGUAGAUCCUUCGGGGUUAGAUACAGUUAGAUGCUAAGUUAUAGCUUUUCUAUAGACAACUUGUUGACUAUGUUUAGUCAUGUAGCUUACUCGCUUAUGCUAUUUUACCUACGCUUAGGAUGUUGAUAGUCACAGCGUGUAC